rnacentral:rRNA from 1 species
GACGUAGGAUGCGAGCGUUGUCCGGAUUUAUUGGGCGUAAAGAGUUCGUAGGUGGUUUGUUAAGUCUGAUGUUAAAGAUUGGGGCUCAACCCUGAAACUGCAUUGGAUACUGGCGGACUGGAGUCCCGGAGAGGAGGGUGGAAUUCCUGGUGUAGCGGUGAAAUGCGUAGAUAUCAGGAGGAACACCGGUGGCGAAGGCGGCAUCCUGGACCAACACUGACGCUGAGGAGCGAAAGCCAGGGGAGCAAACGGG